GAUGAACGCUAGCGGCAGGCCUAAUACAUGCAAGUCGAACGGUGUCUUCGGACAUAGUGGCGCACGGGUGCGUAACACGUAUGCAACCUACCUUACAUUGGGGGAUAGCCUUUCGAAAGGGAGAUUAAUACCGCAUAAGACAGUAGCUGGGCAUCCAGCAGCUGUUAAAGAUUUAUCGAUGUAAGCUGGGCAUGCGUCCAAUUAGCUAGUUGGUGAGGUAACGGCUCACAAAGGCAAUGAUUGGUAGGGGAACUGAGAGGUCAAGCCCCCACCCUGGCACUGAGAGACGGGCCAGACUCCUACGGCAGGCAGCAGUAGGGAAUAUUGGGCAAUGGACGCAAGUCUGACCCAGCCAUGCCGCGUGCAGGAUGAAGGCGUUAUGCGUUGUAAACUGCUUUUAUACAGGAAGAAACGACUCUUGCGAGAGGCAUUGACGGUACUGUAUGAAUAAGCACCGGCUAACUCCGUGCCAGCCGCCGCCGUAACAC
rnacentral:rRNA from 1 species